GGGAGUAGAUGGGUGCUGGUGUAUCCUCUGGUCUUCAAAACCAGUACGAGGGGUUAGUAGCCUCUUGGGUGGGUUCGAUUCCCACGUACUCCCG
rnacentral:tRNA from 1 species